AUACGUAGGGGGCGAGCGUUGUCCGGAAUGAUUGGGCGUAAAGGGCGCGUAGGCGGCGCGGUAAGUCUGGAGUGAAAGUCCUGCUUUCAAGGUGGGAAUUGCUUUGGAUACUGCCGCGCUUGAGUGCAGGAGAGGUUAUCGGAAUUCCCGGUGUAGCGGUGAAAUGCGUAGAGAUCGGGAGGAACACCAGUGGCGAAGGCGGGUAACUGGACUGCAACUGACGCUGAGGCGCGAAAGUGUGGGGAGCAAACAGGAUUAGAUACCCUGGUAGUCCACACUGUAAACGAUGAAUGCUAGGUGUAGGGGUAUCGACCCCUUCUGUGCCGCAGUCAACACAAUAAGCAUUCCGCCUGGGGAGUACGGCCGCAAGGUUGAAACUCAAAUGAAUUGACGGGG
rnacentral:rRNA from 1 species